rnacentral:misc_RNA from 1 species
UGAAACCUCGACGCCCCUCCCUCUUGACGGAGGGAAGGGCUCGGACUUGGACGCUUGCGGCUGGCGGCCGCUCGUCUCGAAAUGCAUUGGGUUUGUCCCCCCACUCGGACGACGACGGUGUGAUAAUAGACGCUUUGUUGAACUCGCCGUCGGUGGUCCGGUCGAGGGGGAUGGCUGAAACCGAGCCGUCCUUCGCGGGACGGCGUUUGAAC